UGUAGUUUGCUGUGACAGUGG
rnacentral:snRNA from 1 species